rfam:Tupaia chinensis contig118037, whole genome shotgun sequence.
GUGGGCUAUGGAGACAUGGCGCCCGUCACUGUGGGCGGCAAGAUCGUGGGCUCGCUAUGCGCCAUCGCUGGCGUGCUCACCAUUUCCCUGCCCGUGCCGGUCAUCGUCUCCAAC